UGCGUAGGCGGGCUAAUAAGUCAGUGGUGAAAUCUCUCGGCUCAACCGGGAAACUGCCAUUGAUACUGUUAGUCUUGAGUUCGGCUGAGGUAGGCGGAAUGUGUAAUGUAGCGGUGAAAUGCUUAGAUAUUACACAGAACACCAAUUGCGUAGGCAGCUUACUAGACUGACACUGACGCUGAGGCACGAAAGCGUGGGGAGCGAACAGGAUUAGAUACCCUGGUAGUCC
rnacentral:rRNA from 1 species